UGCUAAAAAUUUGAUCUAUUUGUACGGUUAAAAAUUGGUGCAGAUGAUGAAAUAACCAAACCGUGUGACAUAUGACGUAUCAUGUGUAUUCCAUGUUGAUGCACAAAGAUUAAUUUUUAACAGAAGAAUUUGAUAAAAUUUUAAAUA
rnacentral:pre_miRNA from 1 species